rnacentral:misc_RNA from 1 species
CCGAGUCGCACGACUCCAAACCAUCGCGAACCCUACCACGUCGUUGCCUCGGCGGGCGGCUCCAGGGCGGAGCCUCCGGCCCCCCCCGCAGGAGGGGGGGUGCCCGCCGCAGGCCCCACAAACCGUGUCGUCCCUAGGCCCCUCUGAAGCAAACCUGCGCAAGCAGGAGAAAAAAGCCA